UACGUACGAGGCAAGCGUUAUCCGGAAUUACUGGGCGUAAAGCGCAUGCAGGCGGGCUGUUAAGUAGGGCGUGAAAUCUCCCGGCCUAACUGGGAGGGGUCGCUCUAAACUGGCAGUCUUGAGGAUGGCAGAGGUAGGUGGAAUUCCUGGUGUAGUGGUGAAAUGCGUAGAUAUCGGGAGGAACAUCAGUGGCGAAGGCGGCUGCCUGGCCCAAUACUGACACUCAGGUGCGACAGCGUGGGGAGCAAACAGG
rnacentral:rRNA from 1 species